CCUACGGGAGGCAGCAGUGAGGAAUAUUGGUCAAUGGUCGGGAGACUGAACCAGCCAAGCCGCGUGAGGGAUGAAGGUACAGAGUAUCGUAAACCUCUUUUGUCAGGGAACAAAGGCGGGGACGUGUCCCCGGCUGAGUGUACCUGAAGAAAAAGCAUCGGCUAACUCCGUGCCAGCAGCCGCGGUAAUACGGAGGAUGCGAGCGUUAUCCGGAUUUAUUGGGUUUAAAGGGUGCGCAGGCGGUCUGUUAAGUCAGCGGUCAAAGCCCGGGGCUCAACCCCGGCCCGCCGUUGAAACUGGCAGUCUCGAGUGGGAGAGAAGUAUGCGGAAUGCGCGGUGUAGCGGUGAAAUGCAUAGAUAUCGCGCAGAACUACGAUUGCGAAGGCAGCAUGCCGGCUCCACACUGACGCUGAGGCACGAAAGCGUGGGUAUCGAACAGGAUUAGAUACCCUAGUAGUC
rnacentral:rRNA from 1 species